rnacentral:rRNA from 1 species
UAAGGAAUAUUGGACAAUGGGCGCAAGCCUGAUCCAGCCAUGCCGCGUGAGUGAAGAAGGCCCUCGGGUUGUAAAGCUCUUUUGUCCGGAAAGAAAAGCAUCGGGUUAAUACCCCGGUGUUCUGACGGUACCGGAAGAAUAAGCACCGGCUAACUUCGUGCCAGCAGCCGCGGUAAUACGAAGGGUGCAAGCGUUACUCGGAAUUACUGGGCGUAAAGCGUGCGUAGGUGGUUCGUUAAGUCUGAUGUGAAAGCCCUGGGCUCAACCUGGGAAUGGCAUUGGAAACUGGCGGACUGGAGUGCGGUAGAGGGUAGCGGAAUUCCCGGUGUAGCAGUGAAAUGCGUAGAGAUCGGGAGGAACAUCCGUGGCGAAGGCGGCUACCUGGACCAGCACUGACACUGAGGCACGAAAGCGUGGGGAGCAAACA